rnacentral:rRNA from 1 species
UACGUAGGGUGCAAGCGUUGUCCGGAAUUAUUGGGCGUAAAGAGCUCGUAGGCGGUCUGUCGCGUCGAAUGUGAAAACCCGGGGCUCAACCCCGGGCCUGCAUUCGAUACGGGCAGGCUAGAGUUCGGUAGGGGAGUCUGGAAUUCCUGGUGUAGCGGUGAAAUGCGCAGAUAUCAGGAGGAACCCCGGUGGCGAAGGCGGGACUCUGGGCCGAAACUGGCGCUGAAGAGCGAAAGCGUGGGGAGCAAACAGG